rnacentral:rRNA from 1 species
CCUACGGGUGGCAGCAGUGGGGAAUAUUGCACAAUGGGGGAAACCCUGAUGCAGCGACGUCGCGUGAGUGAAGAAGUAACUCGGUAUGUAAAGCUCCAUCUGCAGGGAAGAAAAUGAGUGUACCCGAGGAAGAAGCCCCGGUUAACUACGUGCCAGCAGCCGCGGUCACACGGAGGGAGCAAGCGUUAUCCGGAUUUAUUGGGGGUAAAGGGGGCGUAGAUGGGAGUGCAAGUUUCGAGUGAAAGACGGGGGCUCAACCCCCGGAGUGCUUUGGAAACUGUCGGGCUGGAGUGCAGGAGAGGUAUGUGGAAUGCCUGGUGUAGCGGUGAAAUGCGUAGAUAUUAGGAGGAACACCGGUGGCGAAGGCGGCUUACUGGAGUGUAACUGACGUUGAGGCACGAAAGCGUGGGGAGUGAACAGGAUUAGAUACCCGGGUAGUC